GAUGAAGAACGCAGCGAAAUGCGAUAAGUAAUGCGAAUUGCAGAAUUUCCGUGAGUCAUCGAAUCUUUGAACGCACAUUGCGCCCAUUGGCAUUCCGAUGGGCAUGCCUGUUCGAGCGUCAUUAUCCUCCCUCAAACCCCUGGGUUUGGUGUUGGACUGUGUGGUGCCUGGCACCACUGGUCUCAAAGACAAUGACGGCGUCCGUGGGACCCUCGGUGCAACGAGCUUUUCGAAGCACGCGUCGAGUGGACAGUCUCUCCGGGCCGGUCACCUCUCCAAUUUUUCUCAGGUUGACCUCGGAUCAGGUAGGAAUACCCGCUGAACUUAAGCAUAUCAAUAGCGGAGGA
rnacentral:misc_RNA from 1 species